GCCCCCGUGGCGUAAUGGCUAACGCGUCUGGCUUCUAACCAGAAGAUUGCCAGUGAGUCUGGCCGGGGGCU